rnacentral:rRNA from 1 species
CAGAGGGUGCAAGCGUUAUCCGGAUUUAUUGGGCGUAAAGCGUUUCGUAGGUGGUUUUGUAAGUUAAACUUCAAAGACUAGGGCUUAACCCGAGGAAGGGGUUUAAUACUGCAGAACUUGAGAAUUUUAGGGGCAAUCGGAACUGUUGGUGUAGGGGUGAAAUCCGUUGAUAUCAACAGGAACGUCAAGGGCGUAGGCAGAUUGCUGGGAAAUUUCUGACACUGAGGAACGAAAGCUAGGGGAGCGAAAGGGAUUAGAGACCCCUGUAGUCCUAGCUGUAAACUUUGCCUGCUAGAGAUCGGACCUUUGGUUCGGUUUCGUAAGCUAACGCGUUAAGCGGGCCGCCUGGGGAGUACGAACGCAAGUUUA